rnacentral:misc_RNA from 1 species
GGUUGAUGCGUCUCUCAAUCUUCUUCUCCAUGAAAUUAUCUCCUUCUCACCUUCCUAUCAAUACCACACAUAGCACUUUUCUCUCCCCAACUUCAGUCUGUGCGGCUGAGUAUACACGAAGCAGGCUGAGCAUAUUAAAGUUAAUCUGUCAUGCAUCUAUGGUUCAGAAAUAUUCCCUAUCAGGCUUUGCUGUUUCAUCCGAAAGAGAAGGCUCAUAUAAACUGGUGUAUGCCAGAAAUGGCUCG